rnacentral:ncRNA from 1 species
UAUAUUUGCGCCCGAUUAAAAUUACAUAAUAAUCAUUAAACUAAUAUUGGCAUG